rnacentral:rRNA from 1 species
GAUGAACGCUGGCGGCGUGCCUAAUACAUGCCAGUCGAGCGAACAGAUGGGGAGCUUGCUCCUCUGACGUUAGCGGCGGACGGGUGAGUAACACGUGGAUAACCUACCUAUAAGACUGGGAUAACUUCGGGAAACCGGAGCUAAUACCGGAUAAUAUAUUGAACCGCAUGGUUCAAUAGUGAAAGACGGUUUUGCUGUCACUUAUAGAUGGAUCCGCGCCGCAUUAGCUAGUUGGUAAGGUAACGGCUUACCAAGGCAACGAUGCGUAGCCGACCUGAGAGGGUGAUCGGCCACACUGGAACUGAGACACGGUCCAGACUCCUACGGGAGGCAGCAGUAGGGAAUCUUCCGCAAUGGGCGAAAGCCUGACGGAGCAACGCCGCGUGAGUGAUGAAGGUCUUCGGAUCGUAAAACUCUGUUAUUAGGGAAGAACAAAUGUGUAAGUAACUAUGCACGUCUUGACGGUACCUAAUCAGAAAGCCACGGCUAACUACGUG